UGUUGUACACUUGUACUCGUAAAACCUACUUUUAUACUCUCUUUUAAAAAAAUAUAAAUCAUAAAUCUCAUAAAAAGAGCUAUGAUUGAAAGAUGUGCUUUUAAUACGAGACCCCAGUCCCGGCCAUACAUAUAUACAGAGGAUAGCAUUAGCAUAAACCUAACUGGAUAUUUCGUAAUUCAACCCUAAAAAUUCUUCCAACAAAUUUCAAUGCUCAAAAUCAUAAUAUAAGUGGUUAACGAAUCGGAUUUAACCUGAGUUCUAAAUGCAUGUGUUUCUUAUCUAUCAAUAUUUAAAACUCUUGUUUAUCAAAGGGAGAAAUCGAUCGCGUGAAAUCCACUCGCGGCGAUUUCUCUCUCAAAUCUCUCCUUCUUCUGAGCAGAAUCUCUUGCUCCGUUGGUAGGAUCCUCCGUCGAUUCCGGCGAUGUUGAGGAUUUCGUGGCUCAUGGUUCUUCAUCCUUGAUCUGCUCCAUCUUUUUUUCUAAAACGAUCGAGCAAAACCAAGGGAGAAGUGGAGAGGAGAAGCUUCUGUGAGACACCAUUGAUUCCGGUGGUGUAGCAGCGCAGAGUGGAGGAGGAAGACUUCACGGCAAGAAAUGAGGAAGAAGACAGUUAGAUCUGGAGACUAGAGGUCCUGGAGGUUUUAUGAGGCCGCCGUUCGAUAGGGGAGGUCGGCUCCGGUCCGGUGAAGCUAAACCACUGUCAAUAGAUCCGAGAUCUACUCCCUACUGCCUUCAAUCUCACCAUCAAGCCUGAAGUCUUCUCGGUAUCGGAACAACUCGGGUUCUUCCUCCUCUUCGAAACUUCUCUACGGUGGCGGAGAGGCAAACUGAUCCUUGAUCACCUCCUCCGUUCGACUCGCGACGUCCAGGCACACCGGAGGACCUGUUCCGGCGUGGAUCUGCAGUUUUGGGCGGCGGCUGCGACGUGUUCUACGUCUGCAGAUUAGGGUUUUGCAGUGAUCGGUUAAUUUCCGGUUUUGCAAAAUCGAGUCGGUUUUGUAUUUCGUUUGGUUUAGUUAAAUUGGAUGUUUGUGGAUUGGGCCCUAAUGGGUUAUUGUAUGGGCCUAUAUCCGGAAAUAUGUAGCCCAUUGAACAUAAGUUUUUUAAAUUGAAAGCACUUUUACAAAAAAAAAAAAAUAUAUAUAUUUAAUAUCAGACACGUACGCAGCGAAUUAGCGAUCGACUAGUGUGUAUAUUGCACUGAACAUUGAUUAAGGCUACUUUUUUCCCCCAAGUUUAUUUCGAGAAAUAGAAAGUGGGAUCGUUUAUUCCCAUGAAUGUGGGGGAUCUCAAAGUUGCUAUUAUGUGGACAGAAACAACGAACGUGUCAUGCUUUGACGUGAGAGAUAUCAGAACGUAGCGUCACGAUAACUGUGAGAACGAGUGGGUCACUCUCCUAUAGUCCUGACUCCUAUAUAUGUUCAUAUUUACAGGAAUUACGUUUGAGUUUUUUUGCACUAGAUACUAGCUAAAUAUUAGCUGAUCAGUAUAUAUAUAUAAUAACCAAACCAAGAACAGAUUAAAGAGGAAACCCUCAAUUUUGACUUCCCUAUGAGAGAAAACUACGUACAGCUUCUUGCAUUAUCAAUUUUCAGACACAUAAACUGUAACCAUGGAUAUAUGAAUAUUUAUGUACGUAAAAUUGGAAGCAUUAAUUGCUCGGGCGUAUGGAGAAGAUGGGCUGUUUGGACCAAACAUAGUAAUACACAUUAUAUAUUUGAUUAUUCAAAACAAAAAAUAUAUUAAAUAGUAAUUCGUCGACCAUAGCUAGAAGAAAUCUAAAAUGGAAUAAAAUAGAAAGAAAAAAAAGAAAGAGUGAUAAACAAACCAAAAGAAAGAAAAAAAUGAAUGUCUAAUAGAGAGAGAUGGGGCAUAGAAGAGGGAAUCCAUGUGAAGGCAGAUGAUUCAGAUGGGCUCGCCAGCUUUCAUUUUAUCUUUUCUUUUUUUGGAAUCAUUUCUCUUAAAUUAUUUUAAUAAUAAGAUGAAUCAUAUAUUAGUCUUUAGUUCUGAUAUUUUCUUGCAAUAAUUUAUUUUUUCUAUAAAAAUAUCUUAACUUGUAGUUGUAGACAUCCUCCAACCUUUUUGUCCAAUAACAAAAAAAAAUUAUGAACUUCCUUAAUUAUAUUUUAACAUUUCCAGCUGAAUAAUGCCAUCAAACUUACUUAAUUUUUUAUGUAACUGAUGACAGUGAAUUCGUGUUUUUUUAAAAAAAUCUUAUAAUAGUAAAUCUCUUUUAGGUUUGAAUUUGUGAAAAUAUAUUAUUUAGCACACCUGACAUGUUUAAACGAGUCGAAUCUCAGAAUCUUUAAUCAUGCAUAUUAAAGUACUGUUAACUUAUUUAUACUACAGUGUAUGAUUUUUAAAAACAUCGGUAGCUCAAAAUUGAAAAACAAAUCUACACACUAUAGAAUUCUUAAAUCAUGGUGAGUAUAUGAUCACUAUAUGUACGAGAAGAUGAGACUGUUCACUUACUUAAUUAUUUGUGUUGGUUCAUAAAUUAAAUCAUAAUCAUUGGUAAACUUUCUUGUCACACUUGUAUAUAUGGUUUACAGAAUUACAUUACUAGUCGUUUUCUUUUUGUCUAUAUGAUUAAUUGAUGUUUAUAUAUUACAAUUAAUCUGGAAGGUAUGUCUUCCUUUUUUUUCUUUCUUUGCUUUUUUUUUUUCAGUUUCAAAGUCUUUUCGAUUGGUCCACUUACAUGUGAAAACCUGCACACUAACUAUAAUUAUCAAAUAUUAUUUCAUAACUACCAAACUUAUAUAAUUAAAGUAUAAUCAUUCAAAGUGGUACUUCCGUUAAACAAAACAUUUGAUCAUUAAUCAUUGAUCAUUUCAUUCAUGUUUUUUUCUUUCAAGUUUUCCAAACCGUUCGUCCGUUUUUUUACUUAUGUGUAAAUAGAGUUUACAAAUGUCCGUCCAACCGAAAUUUUACCACAUGAAAGUUUGGCCAUAUGUGCUUCGCCUUUUGAUCAAUGAUUAUAGGAUGAAAAUACAAUCAUUCUCAGGUGACUCAGAAAAUAUUACAACAGCAUUGUAACACAGAUCCUAUCCACAUUUUAUAAUUCUUUUUUUUUUUGUGAAAUUUUCCCCCAAAAAACCAAGAAAAAAAUUAAAAGAAAAUGAUCUCUCGAAACAUAAGAAUCCGGCUUCCGGACAAAAAAACACCAUUAGCUAGAAGCAGACAGGAAAAAAAAAAGAGGAAUUAAUUAAGAUCCUCAGAGAUACUGUCGAGGUGAGGCCGCCACGUGGAGACUGACGCCGAUCUGCUGUGCCGCCGGCGAUGACGGUGUUCUUUACCGUUGGACUCAGAAGACACAACUUCUUCCAAGUACUUGUCGCACAACUUCACACAUUCAUCGUCACCUUUAACGUCUCCGGAUUGGGUGGAAUCGACGACGUUAGGGUUGUUGAGAGACUUUCUACUACGGUGAGGAGCGUCCUUUCUCCGCCUUUUCUUCUCCGGCAAGGAAGAGUCCGGGAUAAGAAAAUAGAUGCUUCCUCGCUUGAGCUCAGAUUCAGGGGACAAGAUCAAGAUUUUGCGGACAACUCCUUGAGAACAUGGUUUGCUUAGGACAUGGUUGGGGUUCGCUUGGAGGAUCUCUCCGGCGGUUAUAGACCGUGUGAUCUCCUCAACGUAGCCGUUUAGAUGAACGAUCCUGAUCAAAUCUAGUGCUCCGCAUGGAAGAACACAAGCUAGACAACACCUUAUGCUGUUUCCCAUCUCUCUCUCUCUAUUUGUUUUUUGUGUAUUUAUUAUAUAUUGAACUGAUAGUUAAUCAAAUUUAUGGGGAAGAACAAGUUGGAGAAGGCGAGGUUAUAUAGGAGCCAACACUUUACAUAAACACCAAAGCGGGCUUGACCAUACGUCUACGGACCCUGAAAUGACUGAAUUGCCCUCUUGUCUUCUCGUUAUUAACUUGAAUCCACCCUCCUCCUAAAACAUUACUAUAUGUGUUAAAUAACUAAGUUAUCUCCAUAUAUACAUCAAAGUCAUUUCUAUUAUUUGGCUUUAUUCUGGAUUAUAAGAUAUUUUAGUAUACAUGUGAUGAUUUUUGUUUACUCUCUGCAGUUCGGUAAUGUAAGAUCUCUGAGCUGAAUCUCUGUGAGGGAGAUUAAUAUAGUAAAUAAUCAAAGCAACAAUUAGAAGGAAAAUGUCGAAAUUAGUCGAGUAGAGAGAUAUUCAGAGACGCUAUGUGACAAAUUUUGAUAAAACAAAACUCUUUUUAUUUUUGUAUUAUUACUCGAAUAAUACCAAAUCUUGAAACUAGGAGCGUGUUGGGAUGAGAUAAACUUACUCGUAAUUAUUUAAUGUGAAACAAUGACCAAAGACUUGGAAACUGAAAAAGGAUGAUCUAUUUUACCCGUUUAAAUUUAAAGCGUACUAUAGAUUACGGAUACUUGAGUAGGAUUUGGUAUCAAUGUUGGAAGUAACAAUCCAUUUAACUUUUUCUACUCAAUAUAAGUUUUUUUUUGUCUGUCGUUAAUAUUCCAUAUAACUACAUUUUUCUCGUUGCGUGUGCUCAAGCUAUAUCACUUUUGGAGUUGCAUAUAUAGGCUUAUGCAAGAUCUGUAAAAUUAUGGAAUCCUCCAGUAUUAUAAUCACUAGCUAAUCACCAAAAAUAGUGGUGCAGUCAACAUCCGCAUUUAUAUAGAAAGCUAUUUUAAUAACUAACUGCACUUUCUUUCGAUUUUAUUUUAAAUUUCAACAAUUAGUAUAUUUUUAACUAAUGUGGUCGCGCAUUUGAAUAACUGCAUGCCGUUAAUGUAUGAAUUAAAACACCCAUAUAUAUUACGUUACGGUUGUUCAAGGAUCAAAUACCCAAUUUUACUUAAAAUAUUAAUAUGUAAGCUUAAGCAUUGGUUCAACGAAGUUAAUUAACAUCAAAUAUGAAAAUAAAAUAAAUCCCCGUAAGUAAAACAGCUGUCUUCAAGGACAAAACAAUAGUAGUAUAAUGCAGACAAUGUUAUACGAAUGUAUUUCUCCUUUAAAAUAUAUAUUGCUGUACUACAUAUUAUUCGCUUAUAUAGAAAAAUAAAUUAGUUUACGUACGUUAUUAUUCAAAUGAGUUAAACCAUAUUAAUAGCACUGUCAAACGUAGGAACCAUUUAAGUAUGUUUAUUCAUACUACUAGUACUUAAAAUUAAAUUAUUGUGUUGCUUUUAAGACUUAUUGUUAAUGACGAUUCUCGCUCUAAUUAAAGUCAAUACCGUACGUACGUUAGUAUGUACUUAAACUUAACUAAGAAAAUAUACAACUUGCGGGGGGAUAUAUAGAUUACAUGCAGAUGCAGUUGAAGACCUGUUGGUCUCGGUGUUUAAUGACUAUUUACGCUUACUUGAUUAAGCAAGAGAAGGGGAUCAGGGGACAAGUAAUCCGCAGGACCACAUUAAUAGUUUAUAUACGUACUUUUAAACUUUUGAUGAUAAAAUUAAUUAUUUGAAUUUUUUUUCGUAAAUAGUAAGUGCACGUAACCCCAAACUGUAUAUAAAACUGGUUUCCAAUAAAAAAGAGGACCUCAGUCUAAUUUAAAUUCUAAGUUGAGGAUCUAUAAUGUAAAAUAAUUAAUUAGGUUCUCACAAUGCAUUCACGUUGCAAAUUAACUUCAUAACAUCUUCUCAGGAACACAAAACAAAACAAAGAUAUCAGAAACAUACUAAUAAGAAUGCUGAAAAACCAAAUGAUUAAUAAUGAUGAACAAAAGCAGCGCUAAGAGUACAGAUUAAUUAAAACAAGAAAAAUCUUGGUGGCAGAAAAUAAAUCUUUGAAACGAUUUAACGAUAUCGACAUGAACGAAGAAGCUUCGUCGUACGGAGGUUUCAGGCACCGACGACGUACGAUAGGCGCCCAAAAACAUAUUAAAUAUUGCGAGAUUAAUAAAGUUUCUUAAUUAAUGGAGUAUGUUUAAUGAGAGAGUGGCGAACUUUUAUAAUUAGAACACAGAUUAAUUAGGUUUUGCAAUUGGGUGUGUGUGCAUGCGGCACAAUGUGUUAUAAAUCUUUCUUAUGAAUCUUUUAAAAAAUGUUUAGUGGGAUCAUAAUUGAAGAACGUGAGGCAAACCUGUCUUGUUCCACAAUUUCACAACUCUUCCACGGUGGAUCUUCAACCACUUAAUCAAGUUUGCAAUAUUUAAAAAGGAUGAUAUGUUAAAUCAUUUUAAGAGCAUUAAUCUGUCCAAAUUAAUCAUAAAUAUUUUUGCUAGCUCCAUUUGCCUCUUAUUAACUAUACUAUCUUUAUACGUGGGGAAUAUGAAACAUGUUCCAUACGAACUGAUCAUGAGUAAUUGAGUACAUGCACAAUCUCCACAUUAGCCUUGAAUAGCUUGAACGUGAACUAAUAAGUGAUUAUUCAAACUCAUUUGGAAAUUUUGUAAAACAAAAGUGAGAUAUUCAAUUCUCGUCGUUCUAUGCGUUUAACUAUAACAACUAAUCAUAAUUCAAAUUGCGGUUAAAUGAUUUGAACCAUACUUCUUAUUACACACGUCCUUGCUGACCUUAUUACUAGAAAAAAAGAACUGAUACAUUAUUAAUAGAAAAGUAUAAUACUACUUAUAUAUACUUAUCCCCCCAACGCCGAGGAAGAUUUGAUUUUAGCCACUCUUUUUAUUUAUUUUUAUUCCAAAAACCAACGUAUAUUAAUUAUAUAAGAUUAUGGAAUGAAAUGGUGUUUAAGGGGGGACGUACCUGAUCGAAUAAAGACAAACCCAAUCAAAUAAUUUAAAGUUAUAAGCAUAGAUAGAUAUUGGAGAUAUCUCCAGCCUAGAACACACGUUUGUUUAGAUUUACCCUCGUGUGCAAUAUCUCUUUCUUUUUUUGUGUUUUUUUGGAGCGUAAAUAAUUAUCGUAAUCUUAAUUUGAUAUGAUCAUGCUGCACGAACUUCUAUUCCAAACUCGUUUCCGUGUUAGUUCAAUUUAGGAAAUCUACUUUUUUUUUAAGAGAUUCUACCAAAAUAUUAACAUUACAAAACCACAUCCCUAUAUUAGUAAAAAAAAAGUACAAAAAGUGAUUUCGGGUCGGGUCAAUUUCAAAAAAUUACCCAAAAUUUGUAAUUGGAUCUUUUAAAAUUGGAUAGAUUAAUGGGUUUGGAUACAUACACCGGAUACUUUCCAAAUCUAAUUUUAGAAUUGUAUUAUUUCCAUAACUAAUUAUAUGAUUUACUAAUAUUUCUCUAACUAAUUUAAUACAAUCUAUUUAAAAAAUAUUAUUCUUCUUUCACUUUUAUUUGAUAUUAUUUUUAAUUUAUGAUAUUAUACUAUAUAAUAUAAAUAUUUAAUAAAAAUUUAACUUUUUUUUGCAUAUGUUGCAAUUUGAAUUUUUCAAAACGGACAUAUAAUACUCAACUACACUCGGUUAAAUAUUUUGGACAAUGGUUUAAAAUCAUUAUAAGUAUGACCAAUAUUAAAACCAUUGUUACAUGAGCAUAUUUAAAAUUUCAAAUAGUUUCAAAAUAUUAUAAAUAUAAUUUUCAAAUAUAUAAAACAUUUAGAAUUUAAAAUAUUGAAAAUGUUUUUUUGACGACAUAAAUGUAAUUUUGGAGACAUAAUUUUUAUUGAUAAAAUAUAUUAUAUAUCAAAAUACGUAAAUUUUAGAUAAUUCACGGGUAGUUUGUUAAAAUCACAAUUAUAAUGAUAAAGCGAGUUACGAAUAAUGUUUUUUACGAAAUGAAUUCUGUUACGAGUUGGAAUUUCAAAAAACAAUAUUGUAAAUAUGUAAAUUUUACGUAUAUUCCUACUUUUACUACAAAAAUAGUCAAAAUGAAUAAUUUAUCGACAAAUAUUAUUUCGUGCUGUUAAAUUUUCACCGUGUUUUUAAUUGUAUCAAAACUCAGUAUAUGAUUAUUUACUCGCUUUUUCUUUUAUUAUUUGAUUUAAACAUAUUAUAAAAAUAUAUGAUUUACCGUAAUCGACUGCAUUCUAACAAAAUUAAAAUGUAACAUAUUCUAAUCCGUUAAAAGUUAUAUAUAUGUAAUUAUUUCCUCCGCGUUGUAGCGCGGAUCCGAACCUAGUUAAAUAUACAAAAUAUAUACAGUAUUGGUUUUGCAUGAUCUCGUUAAUUUCGUUGUACGUGUAUUUUAACGUUGCAGAGGAUAUGUACAGACAAUCUUUUGGCUGUAAGGCUUAUUAUUGACCGUUUGUCAACUCUCAGAUUUGCAAACAAAAAAAUAAAUUAUAAUAAUUCAGGCGUCAGCAAUUUAACUAUAAAGUUCAAAAGUCAUAUGGGCUCUAAGUGAAGCCCGUUUUAUCGGCCCAUGUAAAAUCGUUGUCAGGAGUUUCUGACCAAAAAGUCAAUAAUUCAACGGCAUAUUAAUAUGACACAUAAAAAUAGUAGAGACUCUAUAAUCAGAAGGUAUAUAAAAGGGUAGAAAAAUGAAAGAGAGAAGAAGAGACAAGAUGUUGAUCCAUGUAAUAAUUAUAUUCAUGGUCAUAACUACAAUCCUAAUAUCGACGACAUGCCAUACAAAUGUAGCCAACAUUAACGUAUCAAUGUUCCCGGCGAUCCUUGUGUUCGGCGAUUCAACAAUCGACACCGGCAACAACAACUACAUCAAAACCAUCAUACGGGCUAAUUUCCCUCCUUACGGUUGCAAUUUUCCCGGCCAUAACGCUACCGGAAGAUUCUCCAACGGUAAACUCAUCCCUGACUUCAUAGCAUCUCUUAUGGGAAUCAAAGACACCGUUCCUCCUUUCCUCGACCCGCAUUUGUCAGAUUCCGAUAUCCUCACCGGAGUGUGCUUUGCUUCGGCCGGUUCCGGUUACGACAACCUCACAGAUCGAGCAACUUCGACCCUAUCAGUCUCUAAACAGGCGGAUAUGCUCAGAAGCUACGUGGCAAGGCUGAGUCAGAUCGUCGGAGAAGAGAAAGCGGCCAGUAUAGUCAGCGAGGCUCUGGUGAUUGUAAGCUCAGGAACUAACGAUUUCAACCUAAAUCUCUACGACACUCCUUCUCCUCGCCAAAAGCUCGGCGUUGAUGGAUAUCAAAGUUUCAUUCUCUCGAGUGUACACAACUUCGUUCAAGUAAAUAACAAUUUCUAUCAUAUUUUUGAACUCUUUUGCUUAUGUGUAAGAAUUUUGAUUCAAUAAUAUUUGUUUUUUUUCUUUUGUUAUGUUGGAUGUAUGAUAUAGGAACUAUAUGAUAUUGGGUGCCGAAGAAUAAUGGUGUUGGGACUACCGCCGGUAGGGUGUUUACCGAUUCAGAUGACGAUGGCUAUGCAAAAACAGAACGAGAGAAAAUGCAUUGACAAACAAAACUCGGAUUCACAGGAGUUUAACCAGAAGCUUAACAAGUCCCUAACAGAUAUUCAAUCCAAUCUCACCGGCAGUGUCAUCUUUUACGGCGAUAUCUACGGAACAUUGUUUGACAUGGCUACUAAUCCCCAAAGAUACGGUAACGCUACGUUUCCCUUUCAUCCCCAUGCACAUUACGUUUCGCACUAAAUCUACAAAUUUGUAUUUUGACAGCCUUUCUAAAUUAUAUUAUUGUUAUAUAAAUAUGAGGUUGUUAUAUGGGAUUAAUAGAUUACGAAAAAAGUUAGAUAAAUGCAAAACAAGAAAAAAAACAAUCAAACUCAAACCAUAGUCCAUUGUUUCAUCCAAUGUCACGCAUGCCCCACUUAAUAUUUUACAGGUUUUGAAAAUAUAAUUGUUUACCAAAGGAAAAAAAAUAAUGAAAGUCGAAUAGAAGAAAAUGGAAUUAAUAUUGCGUAUUGUUACAAAGUAGUAAAGUGACUGAUGAUAUAAAGGGACAGGAAUAAAGGAAACGACGAGAGGAUGCUGCGGGACAGGAGAGAUGGAGUUAUCAUACUUGUGCAAUGCUUUAACUCGGACUUGUCGUGACCCUAACCAGUUCCUCUUCUGGGACGACAUUCAUCCUUCCCAAGCUGCUUACAUAGUCGUCAGCCUCAGUCUUGUUGAACAAAUUCUCCACGUACUCUCUUGAUUUUCAUUGUUUUUUUUGCCUUUCAUAUGUUAAUUUGUGGAGUAAUUAAGGAGGUUAAUCAAUCUAUAUAUAUUCCCUUCUUACAUGUGCUAUUUUAUACUACGUAGUGUGUACCAAUACUUGCAACUCUAUCGGUAAAGCACAAUGCAUGUGAGUAGCUUCGUUUGGAGUUUUUUUACAUGAAAAGAGCAAAUCAAACACUUACACAAAAAAGACCUACGUAUAAUCGAAUUUGCUGACGCCCAAUCCAUUAUUUACCCAAGGGAGAAAAAAAAAAAAACAGAAUGAUUCACAAUUUGACAGAUUUGUCAACUAAUAAUCAUUUCCUUUUCAUAUUUAAUUUAAUCAACUUGAGGUUUCCUUGAACAACCCUUUAAUUCUCACCUCCAAAUCUUCGACAGUAUAAGCAAUAAAAGGCUCUCCACGCCUCCCAUUGAUCUCCGGCGACUCCUUCAAUCUUCUGAUGAAAUUCUCGUACGCCGGUGACACAAUUCCGUUAACGGAGCUUCUUAACUCCUCCCUCAAUUGCAAAUCAGUAACAACCCAUUGAGAUUGCACCUUACACACCUCAUCAAACUGGGAUUUGAACAAUCUAAGGUUCUCUACUAACUUGGGAUAUGGACCCUCGGUCCUUAGCAAUCCCACCACCUGGUUCCACGAGCUCCUUCGGUAACUAGAAUGGUACUGCUUCAGUUUCGCCGCGUGCUUCACAAUCCAAUCUUCUCCCAGGACAGAACCGAGCUCGUUAUCCGUCACCUUAUCAAGAAUAUACUUGCCAUUGUUCAUCAUGAACAAGAAGCACAAAGACGGGUCACGGUAAGUUCUUUUCUUGCCUUCCAAGUUACUCUCCAACAGCUCCAAAACCCAGGUGAGUUGCACUGACAAAGGACUCGUAUCUGGUCCUGCUUCGUCCCCAGUCUGGUCAAGGAUCUGCUCCAACGACUGCCGCGAUUUACAGGCCGCACGCAGAUAGUUCAUCACGUACCGUGUGAUGGGGUGAAUCCCACCGCCAGGAAACGCGGUUUUGGGAGGGUCACGACGGAUCAAAUUCUCAAGCUCCAUAAAGAUCCCUCUAAUCGCUUCCCCUAACCGUUUAUGAAUAGCGACCGCCUCAUGCCUUAGCGGCAAACAGUAUCUAUCAGAGAAUAGCGUUUCCAUCUUUGGAAUUAGGUCUUGCAUCGCUUCGUAUAAGUCCAUAACCUUAAACAAACGUUCAGGCAAACGGCUCCCUAAAGCAAUCGCGUCUGCGAAAUUCAGAAGCUGUGUGGUCGUCCCGCGGCAAACUUCCAUGAAAGAGAGAUCGGUUACAGAGGAAACAGGGAGAUCAGAGAAAACGCGAUCGCAGAGAAGACGCUCGCUAGGGAAGAAAACGCGGAAGACCAGAGUGACAGCUUUGAUCCAACGGUCGAUUUCGUCUUCAAGAUCUUGCCAUGGAGUCUCUUGCACUUCCUCCAUACUCAAUCCUCUGAGAUGCAACCUCGACAAACUCUCCUCUAGAAACUCUCUCCGUCGGCUGCUGUACACUCUUGAACACUCUUUUCCAAAUCCACCAGCGACCAUCCGCACAGCGAUCGCGUUUAGAUCGCCAAUAACGCUCGAUUCUAACGCCUCGAUCACGAUUUUGUAAUCUGUGACUGGACGGGCUAUAAUUACCUAGAGUAUUUCAGAUUAAAUCAAACUGUAGCCCGAAUUGUGUAUUCUAAUUCCAAAUUAUAUGCAAAUUGAAUUGAAUUUCAAAUUACUUAAUUACCCCGUAGUUUGUGUCGUUGUCUUCUUCGCCGGAGAAGUCAUCGUCCGAGUCAAACGUGUCAGGGGCUCGGUCCAUUACAUAUCCAAACUCUUCCUGAAGCCUAAACAUCACUUGUUGAAUCAAAUCAUCGGCACGGGAUUGACAGACGGCGACGGAUUGAUCUCCGGCCAUGGAUCUCAAGUCUCCGGCCAUCGCAAUUAACUCAUCAACAGAGUCGAGGAAGGUUCGCGAGUCAACGGGAUCGGACCAGAUGGGACGAUCUUCAACGAUGUAGCCAGAGAUCUGUCUCUCCAAGGAGUUAAGUGAUCGGUCAAAGUUAAGGUUUGCGCCGCCGCCACGGGAUGGGGUGGGUCGAGGGUCGCCGCCGCGGUUUCCGGAAGCGCCAUAGCCAGAGAGAAUCUGUAAGAUAUCUCCGGCGGCACUUGGAUCCUUGCCGAGGGCUCUAGCGAUGUCUCUGGCGGCGGCGUAAAGAUUCUCGUCACCAGCCUCAGCCAUAUAUGGUUUUUAUGGGAAUUAAUAAAAAUUUGAGGAAAUUAUGGAAUUGGGUGAAUAAAGACGAGAGACUCCCUCCAUAGACGAAGACUAUAACUAUAAUAUGGACAAGUCUUCGCAAGGAGAAAAAAUAAGAUUUUUAGACGCGGGAACCAUGUCUGACUUAGUUGUGUUUUCUGUUUGUAUUUUUAUGUAAUCUGUAGUUUCAUAUUGCCACGACGACGACUACGACUUUUCUCUUCGUUUCUAUUUUUGUUUUCUUUUUCUGGUUCUGUCUGGUUUGGUGUUUCCAGAACGUUAACGCUUCUUACCGACCGCGUUCUGCGUUCUGCGUUGGUUUGAUACGCCCAGAUAAAUGGUCUAAAUUAGAAUCGUGGAAAUUAGUUAUGGGCCAAAGACUUCGUCACCUUAUAAACUUUCAGCGUUGGGCCCAACGACAUAUCUUUAAAACUUUCGGAUCGAAAAGUUUGGUAAAUAAUAGUUGUAAAGGAAUGUAAAACAUAACAUUAUAUGUACUAAAAAAUUAUAAAUAUGUCUAAGAAUAGACAAAUUUAAAAUUCAAAACAUAAUAAAAUGUUAAUCGGAAAUAAUAGUUUACCUGUUUGACAGAAAAAAGAAAGAAAAAGAUUUUCAUAUUUUUAGGUUGAUUAUAGACUGACUAUCAAUUAAAACAAAAUAUUGCAUCGAUAUUUCAUAACUGAAAUCCUUAAGUAAUCAAUGAUUAGAGAAUCCUAGUACCUAAUUAGUCAAGUGGUUGCACCAAAUCAACGUUGUUGCUCCUCCGUGCUGACUUUACUAGUUCCACAUUCUGUUUUCAAAUUUAUGUUUGACGUCCACUAACUAACUAACUCACACAAAGCUCAGUUGCUUUCCCCCUUAGUCCCUGUGUGUGUAUAUAUAUAUAUCUUCAUCCCUUUCGUCUGGACUCAAAAACCAGAUAGCUUCAACACUACGAUAUGAAGUCUCAGUAUCCAACAAAUCUCGGGCGAAUCUACGCCUUAUCUAUCAUUUUCCUUCUUGUUUGUUGCACUUUUCUUGCUUCCCUCGCUUCCGCUGAACUUCACGUCCGUGAAUUCGUGGUAAGUUCAGCUUCCUUCACUUGACUAGUAUUUCUUUUAGAUGAAUUAAUCACAUUCACGUCCAUGGUUUGAAUCAACGUGACCUAGAUCGAGGCAAAACCAGUGAAGAGGCUGUGCAGAACUCACCAGACCAUCACCGUGAACGGUCAGUUCCCCGGUCCAACACUCGAGGUGAGAAAUGGUGAUUCGCUAGCCAUCACGGUCAUCAACAAGGCUCGCUACAACAUCAGUCUCCACUGGUAAAAAUAAACAAAUGAUUCAAUUUUUUGGUUGAUAACUUUUCAUCCAAGAAACAAACAUGUUGAUGUAUGCUCUGUUUUUGGGGACAGGCAUGGACUACGACAGCUGCGGAACCCGUGGGCUGAUGGACCAGAGUACAUAACUCAAUGUCCGAUCCAGCCGGGACAAAGCUACACAUACAGAAUCAAGAUCGAAGACCAAGAAGGUACACUUUGGUGGCACGCUCAUAGCCAUUGGCUUCGAGCCACAGUCUACGGAGCUCUCAUCAUUUACCCUCGUCUCGGUUCUCCUUACCCUUUCUCUAUGCCUAAACGUGAUAUCCCUAUUAUUCUCGGUAAUUUCAUCAAAACUUUACACUUUAUUUAUACACAAACAAGUUUAAAUUUAUGAAUAAGUAUAUUAAUCUGUAUUUCAAGAGAACAGGGGAAUGGUGGGAUAGAAACCCUAUGGAUGUUCUGAGGUUAGCCCAAUUCACAGGAGCAGCACCAAACGUCUCAGACGCUUACACCAUCAAUGGCCAACCCGGUGAUCUCUACCGCUGCUCUAAGCCAGAGACCCUCAGGUUUCCUAUUGUCCCUGGCGAGACGGUUCAGCUUCGUCUCAUCAACGCUGCCCUGAACCAAGAACUCUUCUUCACAGUUGCCAACCACCCGCUCACCGUGGUCGAGGUAGAUUCUGCUUACACAAAGCCUUUCACCACAAACGUUGUCAUGCUCGGUCCAGGUCAGACCACAAACGUCCUUAUAACCGCUAAUCAACGCCCUGGCCGCUAUUACAUCGCUGCACGGGCCUACAAUAGCGCAAACGCUGCUUUUGACAACACCACCACAACUGCUAUCAUAGAAUACGUUAACGCACCUAGUGGACAAGGCCAGAUCACACCCGUUUUCCCGGUUUUGCCAGGGUUCAAUGACACCGCCACUGCAACCGCUUUUGUCAACCGUUUGCGGUACUGGACGAGAGCUCCAGUGCCACUCGAGAUCGACGAAAAUCUAUUUUUCGCAGUUGGGUUAGGACUAAUAAACUGCGCCAACCCGAACAGUCCUCGGUGCCAGGGACCAAACGGAACGCGGUUUGCUGCAAGCAUGAACAACGUCUCAUUCGUCCUUCCUCGGACUAACUCUGUGAUGCAAGCCUAUUACCAAGGAAUCCCCGGGAUUAUAACAUCAGAUUUCCCGCCGGUUCCUCCUGUUCAAUUUGAUUACACAGGAAACGUAAGUCGUGGACUUUGGCAACCCGUAAAGGCCACAAAGGCCUACAAGCUUAAGUACAAGGCCAAUGUGCAGAUUGUGCUGCAGGACACAAGCAUUGUCACCCCUGAGAACCAUCCUAUGCAUCUACACGGGUACCAAUUCUAUGUUGUAGGGUCAGGUUUUGGGAAUUUUGACCCGAAGAGAGAUCCGGCUAGCUUCAAUCUGUUUGACCCACCGGAGAGGAAUACCAUCGGAACCCCUCCAGGUGGAUGGGUGGCCAUCCGAUUCGUUGCUGAUAAUCCAGGUGAAUUGAUCAUUGCUCUAAUCUUCUUGAUUAGACGCUCUAUAUAAAUUAGUCCAAUUGUUUUUUUUCCUGACAGUUGUUUGUAAUUUAAAUGUUGUAGGAGCAUGGUUUAUGCAUUGUCACAUUGACUCACAUCUAGGAUGGGGGCUGGCGAUGGUUUUCCUAGUUGAGAAUGGAAUAGGUCAGCUCCAGUCGGUGCAGCCUCCGCCAUUGGAUCUCCCAAGAUGCUAAAUAUGGUCGUUGGAUUUCUCAUUUGAUCAAACGUAUCUCAUGUUUGUCUCGUUUUUAGGUUAUGUGGGGUUUUCGUAACCACAAAGCUUCUUUCUGCGUGUGUAUAUACUGAGAGGAGUCAUAUGUUAAUAUCAUUUGGAACUAAAAUGUAUUUGCGUCCUCUCCUAAUGAACGUACUAGAGUGUUUUUUUAGUUUCCCAUGAACUCUCCAUUACACGUUCAUAUCUCAAACCAAAACAAUUUACAGUAUUAGCAUUUAUCGCUACCAUAAAAUUUGAAAUAUAUUUAUUAUGGCUACCAAUAUAUUAAAUACUUCUAGAUGCUCCAAUAUUAAUAUUUCAUCUUACAAUUUUUUUUUUUUUUGCAGAGGUUCUUAUUAUUUUUGGUUAAAAUUAACUAAAAUUAUUCUUGGGACCUUUUCUUAUAAAAACAAGACCGUCCUUUUUCCUAUUUUUUUCGCUUUUGUGGUUUCCCAUUUAUUUAUUUAUUUUAUUUAAAGGAAAAAAAUCUCAGCCAGUAGAUAUGAUAAAAAGGAUUUGAUUACUGAGCAUGCAUUUGGAGACAAGUCACAAAAUUGAGACCAGAGGAACACAAAUGUUAAGUGAUUUCAUCAAAGGUCUGGUGGAUCGUUGCUUCUCCACCUCCAAUGGCUUCCCUUUACCUCAAUUCCUUACUCCCGCUUCUUUCUUCUCAUCCCCAGAAACUUAUAGAACCUUCUUCUUGUUCUUCCUCGUCUUUGUUGAGCACUUCCAAUCGUAACGAAGUUGCUCCUCUCAAGCCGAUUGUCAUCAAUGGAGAUCCACCCACUUUCGUCUCUGCUCCUGCUCGCCGUAUCAUUGCAGGUUCGCUACCAAAUUAUUCUGAAAAGUUUACAUCUUUUUUGUUUAAAACGACAACAAAACUAAGUUGUGGCUAUGCUCUCACAGUUGGGGACCUUCACGGCGAUCUGAGUAAAGCCAGAGACGCACUUCAGUUGGGCGGCGUCUUGAGCUCCGAUGGACGAGACCAGUGGAUCGGCCAAGACACUGUAUGUCUUCACUUUUCUGACCCUAGUGGAACAGCAGAGUUUCAGUUUCUGUUACAUUAGUUGAAAGUUUGGUUUUUAGUUGUCAAGAUAAGAAUAUGCUAAGAAUUAAGAUGAUAUACUAUGAUCGAUUUUGAUUUCCCGUUAGCAGUUUAUAAUGAGAUAUCUCUUAUACUGCCUCCUAUUUUAUGAGUUCCUCCAAAAUUACAGGUGCUAGUUCAGGUAGGAGAUAUAUUGGAUCGUGGUGAUGAUGAAAUUGCAAUACUUUCUUUAUUAAGGUCACUUGAUGUUCAGGCCAAGGCUAAUGGUGGAGCUGUUUUCCAGGUUUUGAAUGCUAUCUUACUUGAAUUUGAUUAGUAUGUGUUACCAAAAACACACAGCAACUUGUGCACUUUGCACAUUUUAAUUUACUGAGGAGCAAUUCAUUUCUCCAAUUUUAAAGGUUAAUGGGAACCAUGAGACGAUGAAUGUUGAAGGGGAUUUCAGAUACGUGGAUGCGAGAGCAUUUGAUGAGUGUACAGAUUUUCUUGACUACUUGGAGGACUAUGCACAAGACUGGGACAAAGCGUUUACUAAUUGGAUUUUUGAGUCAAGACAGUGGAAAGAAGAUAGGAGAAGUUCUCAAACCUAUUGGGAUCAGUGGAAUGUAGUAAAGGUAUUACAUGGCAUCAUUUUGCUGUGUCCUUACUGAGUUUUCUACAUUUUCUCUACUUGUCUGUUAACCAAAAGCCUUGGGAAACUAUUAGGACAGAGGCAAAAGGGAGUGAUUGCAAGGUCGGUCCUUUUCAGACCAGGGGGUCGAUUAGCAUGUGAACUGGCGCGUCACGGAGUUGUUUUGCGCAUUAAUAACUGGGUCUUCUGCCACGGUGGUCUCCUUCCUCACCAUGGUAAGAAUAAGCAGUCUAUCUCAAUCGUCUCAGUGCUGAGGGAUGUGUUCUUUUAAAUUUCAUCAUGCUUAUGAUGUUCUUGCGCAGUUGCAUAUGGCGUAGAGAGGAUAAAUAGAGAAGUCUCUACGUGGAUGAGAAGUGCUACUAACUAUGAAGACAGUCCUCAGAUGCCUUUCAUAGCGACUCGUGGAUAUGACAGUGUGGUCUGGAGCCGACUCUAUUCAAGAGAGACUUCUGAGCUGGCAGACUAUCAAAUUGAGCAGGCAAGUUGAAUUGAAUAACCAAAAAUCUCAAAACUGAUAACGCAACAGGUAUCAUCAUCAGCUUGGACUACUGUGAUUCCUGAUUGUUUUUUUAUCAGGUAAGUAAAAUCCUCCGGGACACUCUUGACGCUGUUGGUGCCAAGGCAAUGGUGGUCGGGCAUACUCCCCAGUUAUCGGGUGUUAACUGGUACAUUUAUUGAACUCCAUUCCAAAAACUUGUAAGAAAUCUUAAUCACAAGAUCCAUACAGUUCUAUAAUGGAAUACGGUUAUCUCUUGUUAGUGAAUAUGGUUGCGGCAUAUGGAGAGUUGAUGUAGGAAUGUCCAGUGGUGUUCUUGACUCUAGACCAGAGGUUCUUAACAAUCUCAGUGGUUCUUGACUCGUCGCCUUUAUGUCUCUGUUACACGUGGAGAUGAUGACUGACUCUGUUGUUGUUUCUUCAGGUUCUAGAGAUAAUAGGGGACAAAGCUAGAGUCAUACGGAGCAACAGGGACACACUUCAUGAACUUCAAAUUGCAGAUUACAUUUAAAAAGCUUUGAAAGACGAGAACCAGACCCCCAUGUUCAAGAUUCAAACUUUAUAAGCCAUAUAUUUCAUGAUGAACAUAAAAACAGGGCAGCAGAAGCUAAAGAAAAGACCUAGCAUAUGCAGUUGGAUGAGGCCAGACUUUUGAACUCUAUGUAUGUACGUAUGUAUAUAUAUAUAUAUCUGUAUGGAUGAGUCAUCAUAAACAUACUAUAAUCAUCAAGUAAAAGGGUUUGUAUAGCAAAAAAAUACACUGGUUAGUAUCACUUUUAGAAAUACUCUUGUUACCAAACCAUAUGUGGGAUUCUGUGAUGACAAGUAGCUAAAAAUUAAUCAAAUGUCUUUACCGAUUCUGCUGUACCAACACUCGAGAAAACGAACAUUGAGAAAGAUCUUGAACGGAGAACAAAGUAUUGAGUUUGAUAUAAAUCAGGAGAGUUGAGUUAUUGAGAAGUGGAUCUCAAUCUUCGAAGCUGAUCAAUCCAACGAUCCUCAUUAACAUCGGAAGCCCAAUCAGGAGCCAUUCCAGGGAACGAGAUUGCGCGCAUUGCCUCCAUAACCCUAACGGUAUUCUCCUCCAUUAACGGUGAUCUUCUACGCCGUUCGUCCUCUUCAAACGCUCUACGGAUCUCCGAUUCCGUCUCCAUCUCCGCCUCUUCUUCGCUCUCUGCGUCUCCGUUUAUGCUAAUAGAAGAGAUCCCUUCCUCUGUUUCCGGAAUCAUACAAUGGCCGUUGGAGAUGCCGUGGCUGAAGCCAUCUCCGCCGAUCGGAUUAUAACUGUCUUCCACAUCGCUCCCGUCGUCAUUGGCGGUGUCUAGAUCGACGGCUGAGAUCGGCUCGUAAUAGUCUUGUGGAUCGUCGACGGAGUUAGAGUCAGAAUCGCUCCCGGCGUUGUUGUUCUCUGCAAAUAACGCAUCCAGCUAACUAAUUAAGCAAAGCAGACCCCAAUUCCAAAAAUCCAGAGAUAAUUUUGACAACAGAGAGAGAGUAAAACGAAUCUGAUAUCCGAAUCCUCAAACGAAGUAAACAGAAUAAGGAGCAGAGAGAAGAACCUUCCAUAGGAUCACUUGAAGCGAGGUAGAGAGUAGCUUCUUUUGUCGGAGGUGAAAAAGAGAGAAGCCACGACUGAGUUGAGUUGACUCGGAUCUAAAAAAAAGUACAGUGCUCAUCAAAUUCAUAAAUACAAAAAUGGUCCUUAAAAGCCCAUAUUGUAUAUAGAAGGCCUACCCUUUGCGGCCCAAAUAUGAAUCUUGUUUUUUUUGGUAAUCUUAUUAUAUAGACCUUGGUUUUCAAAGUCAGCUAUUAACAAGAUCGUGACACGUGUUAAUUAUAAUUGAUAAGAUAUUGACGCAUGUCGUAACUAAUUUUGUUAAUAUUUGGAUAAUAUAGAAAUAUUAUUAACCCUAUCGAAAAAGAAAAUAUAUAAAAUAAAUAUUAUUAAUAAAAUAUACAAAUAACCUAAUUUCAGUUAUGUCAAUUUGGUUUAUCAAUAAGAUAGGGAUUUAAAUUUUAUAAUUAACAAGAAUAUAUGACGUUUUUUGUUUACAGAAGAGAAUUAAGGUUUAAACUUUAAUUUUACGAUUAAAUCAGGUUAUUUGUUGGUUUGGGUAUAUAAAUGAUAAAUAAGAAUUAUGGUUUAUCUUUAUAAAUUAAAAUUAUGGUUGAAGUUUAACAAUUAAACGAGAUUAUAUGUCGAAACUUGGUUAUUAAAUUUACUAACUCACGUGAUCAUGAUAAGUGUCAAGUAAAAUCAUAAGAUGUUGCAAUAUGGUAUAUCUACUUUUUAAUAUUAAUAUACAAAUAGAUUUUUUAAACAACAUUAAAAAUUUAAAAUAAUUAUAAAAAAUUAAAGAGAAUUUUUGAGAAAUACCCCUUUUGGUGUAUCACUUUUCAAAAAUACCUCAUUUAUCUAUCCAUUUUCAAAAAUAUCCAUGUUUAAAUAUGAAAAAUUUUAAAGUUUUAUAUGGUUUAUAAGGCACUUCUAUAUAAUAACUAUUACUUGGAAAUUUGAUACAAAUAUUUUAUAAUGUUUUAAAAGGUUUUAAAUCGUUUUUACAAGUUUAAUAAGGUUUUUAAGUGGUUUUUAAAGGGUUUAUAAGGUUUUUAAAAGGUAUUUAUAAGUUAUUUUACGCUAUUUAUGAAAGAUAUAUAAAAAUUUAAACAUAUAUAAAGGUAAUUUGUGUGUAUAUUUAUAAGUUUACACACAUAUUUGGAUAAAUUUCAAUAUUUAUAGUGUUUUUUUUUAUAAAGUUUGAAAUAGGGGUAUUUUUAAAAAAUGGUAUGGAAAAAGGGUAUUUUUGAUAAAUUAAAAAGUAAAAAAAUUGAUAUUUAUAUUAAAAAAAUGUGUAAGCUUAUAUAUUUAGACACAAAUUAUCUUUCUAUUUGUGUAAAUUUUAAAUACCAUAUAAAUACCUUUUAAAAA
rnacentral:lncRNA from 1 species